GAAAAUGUAAUCUCGCAUUGGCCCAUCAUACCGAAGCGAUACCUGGAUCUUUGGCUUGGGCGCUACCCAAAAGAAGCCCUUACACACGGCUGUUUACCAAAGGAUUCAUGGAGCUGCACGAAGCCGGACGGAUUGAAUUUUGGACUCGGGUGUAUCAGAAAAAGUAUACGAACGCCACUCAUUGCCUAAACGAGGCCCGUAAAAGGCGAGAGCAGCGCAAACUGUCUAAAAGUAAAACCAAAAUUACAUUGAAUAACUUCUCGGGCGCAUUUUACGUCUUAGCCCUUGGCUACUUCAUUUCUUUCGUCUGUUUUGUGCGAGAAAAUAUUUGUUUUAGACUCAAUAGAUAUAA